UCUCUAAAAAAAGGAGACAUAUCCAUGGCUGGAAAAGAUCUUGCCUUCCUAUGCCUGCUUGGUGGCUCUGCCCAGCCUGAAUGUCAUAUUCAGAGGUGUGGAAGAGACAGAAGCCCUCCUCCUGGAGCGUUUCAUCAGGAGUCCGUAAGCUUCAUAUGUAACCCCUCUUACAAAUCUGAAAAUGAAACAAGACAUAUUUCUGGGGUUGUCAGAAGGUAGAACCACUGGUUUGUGAUGCUUCUCUGAGGACCUUGGAAUGAAUUAAAAUGUAGGAAGAGCAACUGUUUGAAAUGGUGCAGUCAGAGGAGCUGAAACCUGAACCACCUGCUGCCCAGCUUCCUGGGUUUCCAGAACACAAAGGCUGAGUGACUGUUCCCUUCCUGAGGACUCAAUGGAGGACAGUGAUCCAGUGCCAGCUGCUCCGGUGUGAAUUUCAUCAUCACUGGGUGCCAAAGAAAUUUCCUUGGGACCCACAUGACUCGACAGCCCCUGAGAAAUGGGGUUAUUGUUUCUAAUGAGCUCUAGUAGCCUGGCUCCUUUGAAACAGUUAAUCACAGAAUCUCAGGCCUAGAAAAGACUUCUUUGAAGACUCCUCUGUGCCAGGUCCAAGUGAGUGAGAUCUGAUCCUAUUUUUGAAGACGCCCAUGGAGCCCCACUCCAGUGACUAAUCGCUUGGCGUGGGAAACAUCAAAUGAAAGGAGCAAUGAGACUGUGGAUUGGCAACUGGAAAAUGGUAUUCAGAGGUAGUGUGUUAUGGGUCCUGAAGGCUGAUGAUCAACCAACCUGCUUAGCCUUGGCACCUCACUAGCACCACGGAACACCUUGGCAUUUUGCUGGUGUUCGCCUGAAUUGACAGCAUCCUGGGAACGAGGAGUGGGGUGAGGCAAGUUAAGGUUUACUUUCUAGCUCACAUUUUAGUGCUGACAUUUCCUUAGUCUUUGGUUCUGUUUUGUUUUGAAGAGGAAAGCCCUGGCUGGAAUACCCU